rnacentral:rRNA from 1 species
UACGGGGGGGGCAAGCGUUGUUCGGAAUUACUGGGCGUAAAGCGUGCGCAGGCGGUUUUGUAAGCCAGAUGUGAAAUCCCCGGGCUUAACCUGGGAAUGGCAUUUGGGACUGCAAGGCUCGAGUGCGGCAGAGGAGACUGGAAUUCCUGGUGUAGCGGUGAAAUGCGCAGAUAUCAGGAGGAACACCGGUGGCGAAGGCGGGUCUCUGGGCCGUAACUGACGCUGAGGAGCGAAAGCAUGGGGAGCGAACAGG